AUGGAUGUCGCCGUGGUGAAGCAACUCAGGCGGAUCCGCACGCUGGGCCGCGGCGCGUCCGGCGCUGUCGUGUGGCUCGCGUCCGACGAGGCCUCCGGAGAGCUCCUGGCCGUCAAGUCUGCCGCCGCCGGUGGCGCGGCGCAGCUGGAGCGCGAGGGGAGCGUGCUAACCGGGCUCUGCUCGCCGCACAUCAUCCCCUGCCUCGGCUCCCGCGCCGCGGAAUGCGGUGAGUACCAGCUCUUCCUCGAGUUCGCGCCCGGCGGCUCGCUCGCGGACGAGGCCGCCAGGAGCGGGGGCUGCCUCCCGGAGCCCGCCAUCCGGGCGUACGCCGGGGACGUGGCCAGGGGGCUGGAGUACCUCCAUGCGAGGUCGCUGGUCCACGGGGAGGUGAAGGCACGGAACGUGGUGAUCGGCGGCGACGGCCGCGCCAGGCUCACCGACUUCGGCUGCGCGAGGGCCGUGGACUCCCUGCUCCCGAUGGGCGGCACGCCGGCGUUCAUGGCGCCGGAGGUCGCGCGCGGCGAGGAGCAGGGGCCGGCGUCCGACGUGUGGGCGCUCGGCUGCACCGUCGUCGAGAUGGCCACUGGCCGCGCGCCAUGGAGCGACAUGAACGAUCUGCUCGCGGCCGUGCACCGGAUCGGGUACACCGCCGCCGUGCCGGAGGAGGCAGCCCAGCGACAGGUCCACCGGAGCGCAGCUCUUGGAUCACCGUUCGUUGCUUCCGCCGCUGCCGCCGGCGACUACAAGGCCGCGCCGGCGAAGCAACAAUACACGUCUCCCAAGAGCACGCUGCAGGACGCACUCUGGGACUCGGACACCGACGACGAGGACGCGGACGAAACGCCGGCCGAGAGGAUCGGGGCAUUGGCCUGCGGCAACUCGGCCUUGCCGGACUGGGACUCGGAAGAUGGCUGGAUCGAUGUGUGCCACCAGGUCCACAGAGGCGCUGACUCGCCGCCGGCCGAUGUGGGUUACGACCUCGUUUGGCCCGAAGAAUCAGACGCAGAGCGCGAGCCGUCUGCGGUUGCUGCUGACGACAGCAACGGCAUACCGCGCAAUGCAGUGGUGACCGACUCUUCCAUUUGGCAGUACAGUCUGUAG
rnacentral:rRNA from 1 species